AAACCGUUGAAAGGGAAGCGAAUGGAGUUAGCAAUUCGCCCUGCCAGAUUCAGUUGUUCGCGCUUCGCGACGUGCGCGCUCUCGAUCCGCAUGGACGAGACGUGCACGGAUGCGACGUGCGGACGGCGCACUUCUGGCGGGCGAGCGUCAGCGUCGGUCGCCGACGGGCGACAAGGUCGCGAGGAAGGUAGAGUAGCCUUCGGGCGCGUUGUUAAGACUCGCGUUCGCAUGGCUCGACGGCGACCGUGGCUCCUUCAUGCGGAGGCGACGCGUGCCUGGCUGGCGACUCGUGCGAUCGGUCCGGCAUGUCGACCGUGGCGGACGGCACGCCUGUGCGCUCGAACUGCUGCCGGUCGCUCGCACGGUGUUCGCACACUACGCGUCGAAGACGCUGACGACCAUACGGCUCCAUCCGACCCGUCUUGAAACACGGACCAAGGAGUCUAACAUGUGCGCGAGUCUCCGGGUGAUCGAAACCCGUGGGCGCAAUGAAAGUAAAGGUCGUCCAAGACGAUUGAGGUGAGAAGCGCGCUUCUUCUCCACGCGCGCCGCAUCAUCGACCGACCUAUUCUGCUCUCAGAGAGGUUUGAGUAAGAGCGUAUCUGUUGGGACCCGAAAGAUGGUGAACUAUGCCUGAAUAGGGUGAA
rnacentral:rRNA from 1 species